CAUGUUUUCAUCACAAGUGCUUCUGUCAACAGAUAGCGACAAAGGUAUGACAACGGAGACAGACUUCUUCCUGUUGGUGGAUUCUACGGCACAUUUGGAUAAUCCAUAGCCCUUGAAGUUGCCCAUUGAACAGAACAGUGACGUAGUUACACCGAUGCUGGCGCGGAUUUACACCACCAGGGGCAAUUUCAUGACGGAGCCCAGUGUGGACAUGUUGGCGGCUUCGCCGGCGGAAUGCAAGGCAAUAGUUACCAACAAACGGAAGAUUAUGGGAUGAAGGUUCUGUGGUUACUGCAUCACUGGGCACGGCUACACAGUGGAUGACGGCAAGCUGAGGCCGGUCUCCAAGUUUCCACGGCCGGAGAAUGUGACCGACCUCCGGUCCUUCAUGGGACUCACAAACCAGUUGAGCGACUUCUCUUCGGAGCUCGCCUGCCUGGCUCAGCCUCUACGAGACCUGCUGAAACAGAAGACGGUGUGGAACUGGGCCGUCCUACACGAAGACGCAUUCCAGUGUGAAGAAUGCGCUGGUGGCGCCGCCUAUCCUGGCCUUCUUCGACCCGCUCGCCCAGACGGCGCUGCACACCGACGCCUCACGGAUUCGCGGCCUCGGUUUCGCGCUCAUGUAGCGACAUGCAGGCACCUGGAAGAUACAGUGCGGAUCUCAGUUUUUAACCGACACAGUGUCACGAAACUCGGCCAUCGAACUCGAGCGUCUGGCUGUCCUGUGGCCAUGCCGUAAAUGCUACACGUACCUGGCCGGCCUCCAGCAUUUUAAGGUGGUGGUAGAUCAUGGACCGCUGGUACCGAUACUCAACUCUAAACGGCUCACGGAAAGCGAAAAUCCUCGACUGCAGCGUCUCAGAGAGAAGCUAACACCGUACAGUUUCACCAUCAGCUGGCAAAAAUAGGUGAUGCGCUGCAUCCCAGA